GGAGAGGUGGGUGAGUGGUUUAAACCGCACGCCUGGAGAGCGUGUUCAGGGUGAUACCCUGACGCGGGUUCGAAUCCCGCCCUCUCCG
rnacentral:tRNA from 1 species